rnacentral:rRNA from 1 species
CGGUAAUACGGAGGAUCCGAGCGUUAUCCGGAUUUAUUGGGUUUAAAGGGUGCGUAGGCGGCCUUGUAAGUCAGGGGUGAAAGACGGUAGCUUAACUAUCGCAGUGCCUUUGAUACUGCAGGGCUUGAAUGUACUUGAGGUAGGCGGAAUGUGACAAGUAGCAGUGAAAUGCGUAGAUAUCUGUUAGAAUACCAAUGGCGAAGGCAGUUGCCUGGCCCGUUACUGACGCAAAAGCACGAAAGUGUGGGGAGCAAACAGGAUUAGAUACCCUGGUAGUCCACACCCUAAACGAUGAGAACUAGUUGUUGGUCCUUUUAAGGAUCAGUGACUUAGCUAACGCAUUAAGUUCUCCACCUGGGAAGUACGAUCGCAAGGUUGAAACUCAAAGGAAUUGACGGGGGCCCGCACAAGCAGUGGAGCAUGUGGUUUAAUUCGAUGCAACGCGAAGAACCUUACCUAGGCUUGAAACGCAAGUUAAAUUUGGUGAAAGCCAUUGUCCCGCAAGGGGAACUUGUACAGGUGCUGCAUGGCUGUCGUCAGCUCGUGCCGUGAGGUGUUGGGUUAAGUCCCGCAACGAGCGCAACCCUCGUCCUUAGUUGCCAGCAAGUAAUGUUGGGCACUCUAAGGAGACUGCCUACGCAAGUAGUGAGGAAGGUGGGGAUGAUGUCAAGUCCGCAUGGCCCUUACGCCUAGGGCCACACACGUGCUACAAUGGUCACUACAAAGGGUAGCAAUGCCGCAAGGUGGAGCCAAUCCCUAAAAAGUGAUCUCAGUUCGGAUUGGAGUCUGCAACUCGACUCCAUGAAGCUGGAAUUGCUAGUAAUCGCGGAUCAGAACGCCGCGGUGAAUACGUUCCCGGGCCUUGUACACACCGCCCGUCAAGCCAUGGAAGCUGGGGGUACCCGAAGUCGCCUUUAACAAGCGCCGAAGGUAAAACCAGUGACUGGGGCUAAGUCGUAACAAGGUAGCCGU